AUUUAUGUGGCCUAAUGUAAAUGGAACAAAUCAGAUAGCUAUUGGAUCAGAGACAACACACGAUGUGACCCGGGGUAAAAAGGCCCUACAAUGAUUCUGAUUCUGAUUUUGAAACAGACUCUCUCUCUCUCUCGCACACACACACACACACACACACACACGCACACACACGCACACACAAACACACAGACCACAUUUUAUUUGAUGUACUGAUUAACAAAUGAAGCAUGUUAUUUAGGAACAAACCUACAUUUUUUCUGGAACUUUUCUCUUUAACAAAAAGCCUGAAUCCGAAACUCCUCCCCUGGAUGUUUGUGCGCAUGCGCGAGUCUCUGCCUAGUCUUCUGCGGAGUCAGAUGUGUUUUUGUCGUCAGUAUCUUCAUGUGACCAACAGACCGACUACACAGAAUGAGUAAACAAGAACAAAUUGUGAAGGACUUCCUUCUUCCUGAUCUCAGCAAAGGUAAAGGUUUAUAAACUCGUUAUAACUCUGUAUAACUCUGUAUAACAGGAAUUAAAAGUUACUACCAUGGCCAAAGCUUUGAGGACAUGGUAAGUUUGUGUUUACGUUAAAUUCAAAAUAAUUUACUGAUUCAAAAUCUUGUGCUAACUUUUAGUCUUUAAUAUAAAGUUUCUGGACUUAUGGAGAAUCGAGUUAAGGAGGUUUUUAGGAAAAUGUAAGCUCUCAUUCACCUAAAACCAUUAGUGCAAUUUAACAUCAAACCCAGAUGAUUUUCUCUUCUCGCUUUUAAUACUCUGUUGAUCAUCUAGUUUUUUUUAUUUAUAUUAUCCUAAACUGUAUACAUGUCAAGAAUAUAACUUUAUUUAAGUAAAAAAUUACGUUUUCUCCAAUUUUGGUCAUCAUUAAAUAUUUUACAUGUAUGCAAUUGGACGAAACCCUUAACGGCAUCCAGAACGGCUAAAUAAAAGGUUAAAAUCAGAAGAAUAAAGAUAUAAAGUUAAUGUUAACUGCUGCAGUUUAUCUGUAUGUGAUGAUGAACUCUAACUGCUUCUUAUAUAUACAUGUGUCUGUGUUUCUCUACAGCCGAGUUCUUCUGGUGGGAGAGAUAAACCAAUUCCUGUUCAUCUUUAAAACAAAUAUUUCAGAAUAUUUGCUCUUUUUCUACAUUUUCUUUAAAGAGUAUAAACUCUGUAUGUGAAAGUUUGAAGACUUCUUCUUUUUCUUCUUCUUCUUCUAAAUAAAAGUGUUCAUAUAUAAAAACA